GACGAACGCUGGCGGCGUGCUUAACACAUGCAAGUCGAACGGUAAGGCUCCAGCUUGCUGGGGUACACGAGUGGCGAACGGGUGAGUAACACGUGGGUGACCUGCCCUGCACUUCGGGAUAAGCCUGGGAAACUGGGUCUAAUACCGGAUAGGACCGCACCGUGAGGGUGUGGUGGAAAGUUUUUUCGGUGUGGGAUGGGCCCGCGGCCUAUCAGCUUGUUGGUGGGGUAAUGGCCUACCAAGGCGGCGACGGGUAGCCGGCCUGAGAGGGUGGACGGCCACAUUGGGACUGAGACACGGCCCAGACUCCUACGGGAGGCAGCAGUGGGGAAUAUUGCACAAUGGGCGGAAGCCUGAUGCAGCGACGCCGCGUGGGGGAUGACGGCCUUCGGGUUGUAAACUCCUUUCACCAUCGACGAAGGGUUUCUGACGGUAGAUGGAGAAGAAGCACCGGCUAACUACGUGCCAGCAGCCGCGGUAAUACGUAGGGUGCGAGCGUUGUCCGGAAUUACUGGGCGUAAAGAGCUCGUAGGUGGUUUGUCGCGUCGUCUGUGAAAUUCCGGGGCUUAACUCCGGGCGUGCAGGCGAUACGGGCAUAACUUGAGUACUGUAGGGGAGACUGGAAUUCCUGGUGUAGCGGUGAAAUGCGCAGAUAUCAGGAGGAACACCGGUGGCGAAGGCGGGUCUCUGGGCAGUAACUGACGCUGAGGAGCGAAAGCAUGGGGAGCGAACAGGAUUAGAUACCCUGGUAGUCCAUGCCGUAAACGGUGGGCGCUAGGUGUGGGUUUCCUUCCACGGGAUCCGUGCCGUAGCUAACGCAUUAAGCGCCCCGCCUGGGGAGUACGGCCGCAAGGCUAAAACUCAAAGGAAUUGACGGGGGCCCGCACAAGCGGCGGAGCAUGUGGAUUAAUUCGAUGCAACGCGAAGAACCUUACCUGGGCUUGACAUAUACAGGAUCGCGCCAGAGAUGGUGUUUCCCUUGUGGCUUGUAUACAGGUGGUGCAUGGUUGUCGUCAGCUCGUGUCGUGAGAUGUUGGGUUAAGUCCCGCAACGAGCGCAACCCUUGUCUUAUGUUGCCAGCACGUUGUGGUGGGGACUCGUAAGAAACUGCCGGGGUUAACUCGGAGGAAGGUGGGGAUGACGUCAAAUCAUCAUGCCCCUUAUGUCCAGGGCUUCACACAUGCUACAAUGGUCGGUACAGUGGGUUGCCAGUCCGUGAGGGCGAGCUAAUCCCGCAAAGCCGGUCUCAGUUCGGAUCGGGGUCUGCAACUCGACCCCGUGAAGUCGGAGUCGCUAGUAAUCGCAGAUCAGCAACGCUGCGGUGAAUACGUUCCCGGGCCC
rnacentral:rRNA from 1 species